rnacentral:rRNA from 1 species
UACGUAGGGUGCAAGCGUUAAUCGGAAUUACUGGGCGUAAAGCGUGCGCAGGCGGUUGUGCAAGACCGAUGUGAAAUCCCCGGGCUUAACCUGGGAACUGCCAUCGAAACUGGCGUACUAGAGUGUGGCAGAGGGGGGUGGAAUUCCGCGUGUAGCAGUGAAAUGCGUGGAUAUGCGGAGGAACACCGAUGGCGAAGGCAGCCCCCUGGGCUAACACUGACGCUCAGGCACGAAAGCGUGGGGAGCAAACAGG